AUGAUGUACAUUGAACACACGCCCUUGGAGGACAAUCUACAAUAUUUCUUGAAAAAUCACAUUCCCGCUAGUGACGCCAAUUCUAUUCUGGCGCAUGUACGCGGCUUUGAUGAAAUUUCUGCUACUCAACUGCAUACGCAGACACAAGCUAACAUUGCAUACUCUCGCUAUAGCGGAAACUUAAAUGUGCUCCACUUGAGUGAUACAUCUUCUAGAAUUAAAGUUCCAAACAUAACCGAUAAAGAUACAAAUAGUUAUUUUGCUAGAAAAAAAUUGUCACCGCCAGGUGCACGAAACCGUAACGCUUCAUCACCACCACAACUUAACGGAAUCGGUAAUAUUACAUACGAAGAAGAAGGUGAAGAGGAGGAAAAAUAUGAAUUGAUUGAUAUUGUUGAUGAUCCAGAAGAGAGAGGUGAUACAAAAAACAACGAGCUCACGCAGGAGUCUUCAGCCAAUUGCGUUGAAAAAGUGCAAACACCUGUGACUGAAGAAAUUAUUAUACAAAUAGAAGGCGAAGAAGAUAAUUACGAUUAUUUUGUGCAACCAGCACCCAAACAGAGAAAACAUAGUCCAACUAGAGCACCAAACCAUCAACUUUUUGGUCAACGCCGACAGAGUGCCGGUGAACCACAGAAAGCACGCAAGCGGCCAUUACGUCCCGUGCCAGCAGCUAUACCGAUUGAAGCUAUACAAACUGAGUUGGAAUUGCCGCCACUGGAACUCAUACCACCGCAACCACGCCGAAAGCGUGUUUUGAAUGGUCAAUUACCGCUUCCAUUAGAGCGUUGUGAUAGUGCAGAAAGUGUAACAAGUAGCUAUUACUUGGCUGAGGACGACGUUGAAUUUGCAGGUUAUAAUUACACAAAGGGUCACCGAAGACUGCUAGAAAACGGACAAGCAGAAGGGGAGGAAGAACUAGAAACAGAAGAAGACUACGAUACAUACUACACGUUGCCAGAACGUACGUCGGGUAGACCUACCAACUCACAAAUGGGUAUCGAUAUAUUCAACAGACUGCGUCGUUUGUUGAAUUUAAACACUGAUUCUGCAGGCAAUACACAAGGAGAGGAUACGCGAAAAAGGUCGGCAAAUUACUCAGCAGAUGCCAAUCCGCAUCCAAUUAAAUAUAAAAAAGUGCACAACCGAUUUCCUAAAAUUAUAACCCACAAAUUGGAUGACGCCGAUUUUGAUGUGAUCUCAUCCUUUCCAAAGCACGAAAAACAAAUGUUGUCAUGCAAAUCGCCUAGCAGCGCCUCCCAAAAUUCAUUAGAGAUGACACAACGUAAAUCAUUACACUCCAUUGAAAAACCGAAAUACCGAAAGUCAAUGUUUACUGCGCCUACAAUAACUCAUCGGUUGGUUAAAAAUACUUCCUAUGCGGAUGUCGAGUUUUCCGACGAUGAUGAACCAGAGUUGGUUCGAGGAUUUGGCGUUGGCCUCGCCAGCGGGCCUGUAAUGCGUGGUGAACACACCGUCAAUCCAUUACCACGCACUAUUAAUGUACCCAUAAUGCGUGAAAGUGAAAAUGCUAGAGCGGCGAUUAUGAAACCGCCGCCACCACUUAUUGAACCGCGUACAGGCAGUAUCCUAGCGACAUCACUUAUGCCUGAAAUUGAUUUGACGAAACGCAAGCCCUUAUCAUACUCAGAGGUUCUGCGACAAAGCUUGCAAAUUCCAAUGGGUAGUGGCCAUGUUUUAGGCAGGCGUACGGCGAGCUCAGCGUCGUCCUCGGGUGCCACAUCUGCAUCUAAUGGUGGUAUAAAUAUUUUAGGCAACUUACGUUCCAACAUGUGGUCCACAAAUGCGCGUUCCAUACUAUCGCAUGAAAUAGAAAGUGAAGAGCACGAAAAAUACCAGCAACUAUUGCAGCAGGUAGUACCAUGCUUGUAUGGCAGCACAGAGGGUGCGAAUGCGCGUACGUUGCCAAAGCCAGCAUUUGGUUUUGAUGCGCCACAAAAACGCAGUGCUUUGCAGCAUGUCAAUCUCGGCAAUCAGAAGUCCGUGAGCAACCAACGUAGGUCACUAACAGAGCAAAAUAGUUAUGGACGUGCAUUGAAAAGACCACCAUUGUCGUCUACAAUCAAUUUGGACGAUGACGAUGAUGAUGGUGAUGAAGAGAAUAAUGAUGUCACGUUGGUAAAUGUGAGAAAACAAACGCCUGUACGGACAGCUUUGCCCACGGUUAUUGUCGACGACGAUGACGAUGAAAUAAGUGAAAUCAUCGACUUGGACGAUGAUGAGCGGCAAGUGGUGUCGGCUUGCACAAAAUUGAAAGAUCAGAACGAGAGCGGUCCAGGGUUAGGCGCAAAUGAUAAGAAAAAGUGCUUGACAAGAUUGCCCUACGUUGAGCCGGUUAAUACGUUGCAAGAACGUUUCAAUACUUCACCACAUCUCAAGUCAAAUUGGCUUGAGUCAUUGCAAUCGAAAUGGACUGAAAAGAAGAAGAGUCGUCUACAGGAGGUCAACGAAACCGUGAAUGUCCUAGAAAAGCUAACAGCCGAGCGUCGUGCCGCCGAAUUGGAAAUGCAAGAACGCCUGCGUAAAAUACAAAUAGUCGAUCCAGAUUUGCUUGUGAUCGAUGAUUUCCCAGAACCAGUUAUAGAGGAAGAACCUGAAUUUAUAGAUUUAACACCGGAACAUCAAAAUCGUAUAAAGGCCGCUGUAAUGGGGCCACCAGAUCAGGUUUUGGUUUCGAAAUUCAAUUUAAACAUUACACGUCGCGAUAUACACACCCUGCUAGGUCACAACUGGCUGAACGAUGAAGUUAUCAACUUCUAUAUGAAUCUACUGACCGAGCGUGGUGAGAAAAGGCACGAAAAACACGGUUUACCCACUGUAUACGCAAUGAAUACAUUCUUUGUGCCACGCUUACUGUCAGCUGGUCAUGGUGGCGUCAAACGUUGGACUCGCAAAGUGGAUAUAUUCUCCAAAGAUAUUAUUCCAGUGCCCGUGCAUGUGGGUGGUGUGCAUUGGUGUAUGGCUAUUAUACAUCUAAAAAAUCGUACCAUUAAAUACUAUGAUUCGAUGGGCACACCAAAUCCUACCGUGCUAAAAGCACUCGAACAAUAUCUCAAGGAUGAAUCGUUGGAUAAGCGAAAGCAACCUUACGAUACUAGCAAUUUCGAAAUCGAGUCGGUACGUGAUGUACCCCGUCAAAUGAAUGGCAGUGAUUGUGGUGUAUUCAGUUGCAUGUUUGCCGAGUAUAUUACACGUAAUCGUGAGAUAACAUUCUCGCAACAGAAUAUGGAAUAUUUCCGUCACAAAAUGAUAUUAGAAAUUGUUAGUGGCGAAUUGUUGCAGUAAAACCGUAUAAAUAAUGAUAAUUGGUAAAAGGCUGCAGCGAGAUGAAGUAUAUGAACGUGUGUAUGUGCUGGUUGGACUGGGCAAAAAUGUAAAAGUAAGUGUAUUUUCCAAGCCAUACGCUAAGAAAUUAAUCAUUCUUGACAGUUCAGUAAUAGACAACAUGUAUGUCGCCUUUAGUAUAAAUCUUUCAUUUCAUUUGUACGGCAUUGGUAUAUUUUCUAUAAAGCAAACUGAACACCAUGAUGAAAACUAAAAGCCGCGACGUUCAAUAUAGUAUUCAAAAGCACUACUUUCUCUUCGUUAAUUACUUCAUUGCUGUCGUUUUGGAUAGUUUUUUUUUUUUUUUCUCAAUUUACUGUUCAGUUUAUAUAUAUUAAUAAUCAGUAAUGCAGUUUACAUUAAAUUGAAAUUUCGCGCAAUAAUUGCACUACUUAACUCUAUUUUAUUAUAAAAAAAAAGUCUAGAUUAAAAUUUGCAAAUAUAAAAUAUAAUAUAUACAUACCAACAAAAACAAAAAAGCAUAACUUAUUAUGUAAUAUUCUGUUUAAGAUUUCGUGGAUACAAUUCGUAUUUUUAAUAAUUGAAUAAUCUUUUAUUUAUGUAUUGCGUGUGUACGAUUUAUGUACAUAAUCGCUAUUUAAACGUCUCAGUUGUGUGACAAAAUUCAUAAAAAGGAAAGAAAAAAAUAUGUUUUGAUGAAUGCUCAAACGCACUUUAAUUUCUUUUCUUAAAUUAUAUAUCCAUCUAAAUGUAAAAACAAGUAUAAAAUAAUGCUUGGGUUCUAUUAAAAUUUGCAACAGUCGAAAGAAAAAAAUAGUAAAUGGCAACCAACCUACUACAUAACAUACAUAACUAAUUUAUCUGUCUAUAAUAAGCCGUCUACAGUUAUAAGGUUGCAUUUCUGAAUUACAUACAUGCGUAUAUUUAGUUUAAAAACAAAUAUUAAUAAUUUGUAUGUCACUGAUUGAAACAAUAAAUACCUACUAUAGAAAAAAAUAA
rnacentral:misc_RNA from 1 species